AUACGGAGGGGGCUAGCGUUGUUCGGAAUUACUGGGCGUAAAGCGCGCGUAGGCGGAUUGAUCAGUCAGAGGUGAAAUCCCAGGGCUCAACCCUGGAACUGCCUUUGAUACUGUCAGUCUUGAGUUCGAGAGAGGUGAGUGGAAUUCCGAGUGUAGAGGUGAAAUUCGUAGAUAUUCGGAGGAACACCAGUGGCGAAGGCGGCUCACUGGCUCGAUACUGACGCUGAGGUGCGAAAGCGUGGGGAGCAAACAGGAUUAGAUACCCCAGUAGUCC
rnacentral:rRNA from 1 species